CUCUGACUCAAAUAACAAACGCUAGGACCGGGAAGGAGUGAUUUCUGAGGUCUGCAUCAGCCACUCACAGGCCCCCACUACAACACCAAGGAUCCAGGACCACCAUAAAUAGUUAACCGCUGCUGGUCCACCAGGAAUUAUGGCUGCAUGUGAUGUGUGUGGAUAGGAAUACACAUACAUCACAUGCAGCCAGCACAGCACACACACAUUGAGCACUCACUGCUCAGCACACAAUGACACAAAAUCAGCACAAAUCACACACACACUAUGACAAAUCAAGAGACCAUGGGAGGACAUAGGGUAAGACACUCAAG